CGAAGCAUUAGCACGCUGCGAUGUGCUACACGUUUGUCCGUGGGUUGCUAUGCGGGACAUUCACGAAACUCGCCAGUAAGUCAACAGUUGCUUAACAGAUAGUUCGACUGCUGUGUUUUCUACUUGUUGCUACGACCGCUAAACCGAUACCCCACCACCUCCUAACUACGAAUUAACGCAGUGAAAUAAUACGCAGAAUUUUCAUAACCUUGCUUGUUCACCCUUGAUUUUGUCGAUAUAGAUUCAUUGGAUAAUCUUUUUGCAUCUAUCUGAAUUAUGAAGAACUGAACUGGUGAAAGCAUGGAUAGUCAUUUUGGGCAGAAGAUUUUGGCUCCAUUUGCCAAGGUGAGAAAAGAUACAUUUAUGGUUUUGGAUUUCACCAAACAUUUAUCGACGUGAUCUAAUAUUUUCUGUUUUAAAUUUUAAUUAUUUUUCUAACCCUCCAAAUAUUUCGAACGCGUUGAAGGAAUAUGUUUUUUCAUUCCUCUUUCUAUACAUUUUUGGAAUAUAGGAAUAGAAUUCUCAUCGCUCUAUCUAUUUCAUUUAUUGUUCAACCUCGACAGCAAGUGGGUAGAUAUCUAUUUUAGCUCUUUAAGAGCCCUGCAAAAAUUUUAUCUUUUUCUCGUAAUUAAAUGUUUUCUUAGGAAAAAGUGAAGUUAUCAUUCCCUCAAAACCCAAUUAACUAUUUUCGUAUUGUGGAGAACUCGCAGAUGAUAAGUAUUUCCACGAAAUCGCAAUCCUCCUAAAUUGGAAGAUUUUUAUCGUAACGCUAUCUGAGAUAUAUCUCUUCCGGUAAAAAGAUCGCAAACAAUAACAAUAAUUGAAUUUUCCUCCCACAAAUCGAUUUCGAGGAAGUGAAUAAGAAAUAUCAGCUCUGGAUACCCAGGAGGGGCCCCUGUCGGCAGUCACAUGUGUGUAAAGCUGCUGACGACGACUCCCAUGAUCCGCGUGAUAUAUUGGGGAAAACCCAGGAUAACAAAGAUAUUCAAUUCGAUUCGUAUCCUUUCACGCAAUGCUUUCAGCUUGAAACGUGGAAUAAUCGCAAAAAUCUCACAGUGCCCUCGUAUCAUGAUAUCAUUGGUAGUCAGCUGUUUAGGAUUGCUGGGAGGCCUCCCAAAAAUGAACAAAAUACCGGAAAAUCAUUCAAAAUCUAUCUAUGAAUGUACUAUUGUCAAUUGAGAUAUC